UAGUGAAUAUAGGACGUCCAACUUAACUUGGAGUCCGAACUCUCACUUUCUAACCCUGUGCACUUGUUUGGGAUAGUAACUCUCGCAAGAGAGCGAACUCCUAUUCACUUAUAAACACAAAGUCUAUGAAUGUAUUAAAUUUUAUAACAAAAUAAAACUUUCAACAACGGAUCUCUUGGCUCUCGCAUCGAUGAAGAACGCAGCGAAAUGCGAUAAGUAAUGUGAAUUGCAGAAUUCAGUGAAUCAUCGAAUCUUUGAACGCACCUUGCGCUCCAUGGUAUUCCGUGGAGCAUGCCUGUUUGAGUGUCAUGAAUACUUCAACCCUCCUCUUUCUUAAUGAUUGAAGAGGUGUUUGGUUUCUGAGCGCUGCUGGCCUUUACGGUCUAGCUCGUUCGUAAUGCAUUAGCAUCCGCAAUCGAACUUCGGAUUGACUUGGCGUAAUAGACUAUUCGCUGAGGAAUUCUAGUCUUCGGAUUAGAGCCGGGUUGGGUUAAAGGAAGCUUCUAAUCAGAAUGUCUACAUUUUAAGAUUAGAUCUCAAAUCAGGUAGGACUACCCGCUGAACUUAAGCAUAUCAAUAAGCGGAGGAAAAGAAACUAACAAGGAUUCCCCUAGUAGCGGCGAGCGAAGCGGGAAGAGCUCAAAUUUAUAAUCUGGCACCUUCGGUGUCCGAGUUGUAAUCUCUAGAAAUGUUUUCCGCGUUGGACCGCACACAAGUCUGUUGGAAUACAGCGGCAUAGUGGUGAGACCCCCGUAUAUGGUGCGGACGCCCAGCGCUUUGUGAUACAUUUUCGAAGAGUCGAGUUGUUUGGGAAUGCAGCUCAAAUUGGGUGGUAAAUUCCAUCUAAAGCUAAAUAUUGGCGAGAGACCGAUAGCGAACAAGUACCGUGAGGGAAAGAUGAAAAGCACUUUGGAAAGAGAGUUAACAGUACGUGAAAUUGUUGGAAGGGAAACGCUUGAAGUCAGACUUGCUUGCCGAGCAAUCGGUUUGCAGGCCAGCAUCAGUUUUCCGGGAUGGAUAAUGGUAGAGAGAAGGUAGCAGUUUCGGCUGUGUUAUAGCUCUCUGCUGGAUACAUCUUGGGGGACUGAGGAACGCAGUGUGCCUUUGGCGGGGGUUUCGACCUCUCAC
rnacentral:rRNA from 1 species